rnacentral:rRNA from 1 species
UACAGAGGGGGCAAGCGUUGUUCGGAAUUACUGGGCGUAAAGGGCGCGUAGGCGGCCUUCUAAGUCGAACGUGAAAUCCCCGGGCUCAACCCGGGAACUGCGUCCGAUACUGGAAGGCUAGAAUCCGGGAGAGGGAUGCGGAAUUCCAGGUGUAGCGGUGAAAUGCGUAGAUAUCUGGAGGAACACCGGUGGCGAAGGCGGCAUCCUGGACCGGCAUUGACGCUGAGGCGCGAAAGCGUGGGGAGCAAACGGG